AGUUAAGGUGAGUUCCUCUCCAAGGGGCCUAAUAGUGCCCCUUCUUCAGGAAAGUAGAAACUUGGAAGAAGGUCAGGUUUGCAGGGGGAGAAGAUGAUGCAGAAUUUCCUGUCCUUGCCUUCCCUUCCCUUUCCUAGCCUACAUGU